rnacentral:rRNA from 1 species
CAUCACAGCCAAACCUCCGUGUCAAAGCCAGAUCUUGUCUGAUCUCUGAAGCUAAGCAGGGCUGGGGCUGGUUAGUACUUGGAUGGGAGACCACUGUGAAUUCCCUGACUCUAAUGC